GGCAGCAUGGCUCAGUGGAAAGAGCACGGGCUUGGGAGUCAGAGGUCAUGGGUUUGAAUCCCUGCUCUGCCA
rnacentral:tRNA from 1 species